AUUGAACGCUGGCGGCAGGCCUAACACAUGCAAGUCGAGCGAGCGGCGGACGGGUGAGUAAUGUCUGGGAAACUGCCUGAUGGAAGGGGAUAACUACUGGAAACGGUAGCUAAUACCGCAUACCAUCAGAUGUGCCCAGAUGGGAUUAGCUAGUUGGUGGGGUAAAGGCCUACCAAGGCGACGAUCCGUACCUGGUCUGAGAGGAUGAUCAGCCACACUGGAACUGUGAAACGGUCCGAACUCCUACGGGAGGCAGCAGUGGGGAAGAUUGGACAAUGGGCGAAAGCCUGAUGUAGCCAUGCCGUGUGUGUGAAGAAGGUCUGCGGAUUGUAAAGCACUUUAAGUUGGGAGGCGUUACCAACAGAAUAAGCACCGGCUAACUGCGUGCCAGCAGCCGCGGUAAUUC
rnacentral:rRNA from 1 species